rnacentral:rRNA from 1 species
ACACUAAAAAUAGCUCAAAACAUAUUAAAUAAUACUACCUCAAGACACUAAAAUAAAACAUUCAUAAUAUAAGAGUAUAGGAGAUAGAAAUUCUAUUUGACGCUAUAGAGAAAGUACCGCAAGGGAAAAAAUGAAAGAAAACUUAUAAGUAAAAAAAAGCAAAGCUCAACCCUUGUACCUUUUGCAUAAUGAUUCAACUAGAAAAACAUUAGCAAAAAGAAUUUAAGUUAAAUACCCCGAAACUAGACGAGCUACCCAUUAGCAGCCUAAAGAGCAAACUCAUCUAUGUGGCAAAAUAGUGAGAAGACUAGCGGGUAGUGGCAAUAAACCUAUCGAGCCUAGUGAUAGCUGGUUGUCCAGAACAGAAUUUUAGUUCUAAUUUAAGCUUACUACGAAAAAAAAAUGAAUUUGAAUGUAUGCUUAAACAAUAAUCUAAAAAGGUACAGCUUUUUAGACAGGGGAUACAACCCUCAUUAGUGAGUAAAAAAAAUAAAUCAAAACACCCCAGUUGGCCUAAAAGCAGCCAUCAAACAAGAUAGCGUUCAAGCUCAAUAAUAUAUAAAAAUUAAUUUCAGUUAACAACAAUAAUACUCCUAAUAUACAACUGGACUAUUCUAUUUUUAAAUAGAAGCAAUAAUGUUGAUAUAAGUAACAAGAAAUAUUUCUCCUUGCAUGCGUGUAUAUCAGAACGAAUGCAUCACUGAUAAUUAACAAAUAUAAACAUAAUCAUUUAACUAAUGAACUAAAUAUAAUUGUUAGCCCAACACAGGUAUGCAACCAAGGAAAGAUUAAAAGAAGUAAAAGGAACUCGGCAAACAUAAACCCCGCCUGUUUACCAAAAACAUCACCUCUAGCAUAAAAAGUAUUAGAGGCACUGCCUGCCCAGUGACUUUAGUUUAACGGCCGCGGUAUCCUGACCGUGCAAAGGUAGCAUAAUCACUUGUUCUCUAAAUAAGGACUUGUAUGAAUGGCUUCACGAGGGUUUUACUGUCUCUUACUUCCAAUCAGUGAAAUUGACCUUCUCGUGAAGAGGCGUGAAUAGAAAAAUAAGACGAGAAGACCCUAUGGAGCUUUAAUUAACCAACUCACAAAUUAUAAUAGCAUUCUACCAGAAACAAACCCAUUAUGAUUGAGUUGACAAUUUAGGUUGGGGUGACCUCGGAAUAAAAACCAACUUCCGAGAAAAUUUCAAUUGAGACAAACAAGUCUAAAUUAUCUUAACAAAUACAUAUUGACCCGUUAAUUCUUAAACGAUCAACGAAACAAGUUACCCUAGGGAUAACAGCGCAAUCCUAUUUAAGAGUCCAUAUCGACAAUUAGGGUUUACGACCUCGAUGUUGGAUCAGGACAUCCCAAUGGUGCAGCAGCUAUUAAUGUGUUCGUUUGUUCAACGAUUAAAGUCCUACGUGAUCUGAGUUCAGACCGGAGAAAUCCAGGUCGGUUUCUAUCUAUUUUUAAGUCCCUCCCAGUACGAAAGGACAAGAGAGACAGGGCCCACUUAAAACAAGCGCCCUAACCAAUUAGAUGAAUUAAUAUUAAUCUUACAAUAUACUUCACCUGCCCAAGAACAGGGUUC